rnacentral:pre_miRNA from 1 species
UAUGUACUCCCUCCGUCCGGAAAUACUUGUCAUUGAAAUGGAUGUAUCUAGAUGUAUUUUAGUUCUAGAUACAUCCAUUUUCAUCCAUUUUGAUGACAAUUAUUUCUGGACGAAGGGAGUAGUCC